UGAGGAAUAUUGGUCAAUGGGCGGGAGCCUGAACCAGCCAAGCCGCGUGAGGGAUGAAGGCCCUAUGGGUCGUAAACCUCUUUUGUCAGGGAACAAAAGCGAGUAUGUAUACUAGUCUGAGUGUACCUGAAGAAAAAGCAUCGGCUAACUCCGUGCCAGCAGCCGCGGUAAUACGGAGGAUGCGAGCGUUAUCCGGAUUUAUUGGGUUUAAAGGGUGCGUAGGCGGCGGUGCAAGUCAGCGGUAAAAGCCCGGGGGCUCAACCCCGGCGAGCCGUUGAAACUGCAGUGCUAGAGAAGGCGAGAGGUACGCGGAAUGCGCAGUGUAGCGGUGAAAUGCUUAGAUAUUGCGCAGAACUCCGAUUGCGAAGGCAGCGUACUGGCGCCUGACUGACGCUGAGGCACGAAAGCGUGGGGAUCGAACAGGAUUAGAUACC
rnacentral:rRNA from 1 species